AAAUUUCCAGCGACAUAGCAGGAUUAGAGGAGAAAGCUUGAUUAUCAUGGGAUGUUACAGCAAAGGCAGCCUCUCCCCCCAUCACAGGGACGUCGUCGCUCGACGAGUAAAUCUCAAGUCAGAUAGUACCCGUUUGAAAGGGUUAAGCAAACGAGGUUGAUCGAUCGAGGCAGAGGAGGUGUUGGGAC